rnacentral:rRNA from 1 species
UAGAGGAAGUAAAAGUCGUAACAAGGUCUCCGUUGGUGAACCAGCGGAGGGAUCAUUACUGAGUUACCGCUCUAUAACCCUUUGUGAACAUACCUAACCGUUGCUUCGGCGGGCAGGGGAAGCCUCUCGCGGGCCUCCCCUCCCGGCGCCGGCCCCCACCACGGGGACGGGGCGCCCGCCGGAGGAAACCAAACUCUAUUUACACGACGUCUCUUCUGAGUGGCACAAGCAAAUAAUUAAAACUUUUAACAACGGAUCUCUUGGUUCUGGCAUCGAUGAAGAACGCAGCGAAAUGCGAUAAGUAAUGUGAAUUGCAGAAUUCAGUGAAUCAUCGAAUCUUUGAACGCACAUUGCGCUCGCCAGCAUUCUGGCGAGCAUGCCUGUUCGAGCGUCAUUUCAACCCUCAAGCACCGCUUGGUUUUGGGGCCCCACGGCACACGUGGGCCCUUAAAGGUAGUGGCGGACCCUCCCGGAGCCUCCUUUGCGUAGUAACUAACGUCUCGCACUGGGAUCCGGAGGGACUCUUGCCGUAAAACCCCCAAAUUUUUUACAGGUUGACCUCGGAUCAGGUAGGAAUACCCGCUGAACUUAAGCAUAUCAAA